UACAGAGGUGGCAAGCGUUGUUCGGAAUUACUGGGCGUAAAGGGCGCGUAGGCGGUCUUGUAAGUCUCGUGUGAAAUCCCUCGGCUUAACUGAGGAACUGCACGGGAUACUGCCUGACUUGAGAUCGGGAGAGGGAAGCGGAAUUCCGGGUGUAGCGGUGAAAUGCGUAGAUAUCCGGAGGAACACCGGUGGCGAAGGCGGCUUCCUGGACCGACACUGACGCUGAGGCGCGAAAGCUAGGGGAGCAAACGGG
rnacentral:rRNA from 1 species